rnacentral:rRNA from 1 species
GUGUGGCGAGGUUAACCCGUGUGGGGUAGCCGUAGCGAAAGCGAGUCCGAAUAGGGCGAAUGAGUCGCGCGCCCAAGACCCGAAGCGGAGUGAUCUAGCCAUGGGCAGGUUGAAGCGGAGGUAAGACUUCGUGGAGGACCGAACCCACCAGGGUUGAAAACCUGGGGGAUGACCUGUGGUUAGGGGUGAAAGGCCAAUCAAACUCCGUGAUAGCUGGUUCUCCCCGAAAUGCAUUUAGGUGCAGCGUCGCGUGUUUCUUGCCGGAGGUAGAGCACUGGAUAGGCGAUGGGCCCUACCGGGUUACUGACCUUAGCCAAACUCCGAAUGCCGGUAAGUGAGAGCGCGGCAGUGAGACUGUGGGGGAUAAGCUCCAUGGUCGAGAGGGAAACAGCCCAGAGCAUCGACUAAGGCCCCUAAGCGUACGCUAAGUGGGAAAGGAUGUGGAGUCGCAGAGACAACCAGGAGGUUGGCUUAGAAGCAGCCAUCCUUGAAAGAGUGCGUAAUAGCUCACUGGUCAAGUGAUUCCGCGCCGACAAUGUAGCGGGGCUCAAGCGUACCGCCGAAGUCGUGUCAUUCCCGUGUGAAGCCCUAACGGGUGCGGGGAUGGGUAGGGGAGCGUCGUGUGCCGGGUGAAGCGGCGGCGGAAGCCAGUCGUGGACGGUACACGAGUGAGAAUGCAGGCAUGAGUAGCGAUACACACGUGGGAAACGUGUGCGCCGAUUGACUAAGGGUUCCUGGGUCAAGCUGAUCUGCCCAGGGUAAGUCGGGACCUAAGGCGAGGCCGACAGGCGUAGUCGAUGGACAACCGGUUGAUAUUCCGGUACCCGCUUUGAAACGCCCAGUAUCGAACCAGAGGAUGCUAAGCCCGUGAAGCCGCCCUGAUCUCUUCGGAGUUGAGGGGAGUGGUGGAGCCGGCGACCCGAUUCUGUAGUAGGUAAGCGAUGGGGUGACGCAGGAAGGUAGUCCAGCCCGGGCGGUGGUUGUCCCGGGGUAAGGGUGUAGGGCGUUGCGUAGGCAAAUCCGCGCAACAUAUAGUCUGAGACCUGAUGCCGAGCCGAUUGUGGUGAAGUGGAUGAUCCUAUGCUGUCGAGAAAAGCCUCUAGCGAGUUUCAUGGCGGCCCGUACCCUAAACCGACUCAGGUGGUCAGGUAGAGAAUACCGAGGCGUUCGGGUGAACUAUGGUUAAGGAACUCGGCAAAAUGCCCCCGUAACUUCGGGAGAAGGGGGGCCACAACUGGUGAGGGGACUUGCUCCCUGAGCUGGGGGUGGCCGCAGAGACCAGCGAGAAGCGACUGUUUACUAAAAACACAGGUCCGUGCGAAGCCGUAAGGCGAUGUAUACGGACUGACGCCUGCCCGGUGCUGGAACGUUAAGGGGACCGGUUAGUCACAUUUCGGUGUGGCGAAGCUGAGAACUUAAGCGCCAGUAAACGGCGGUGGUAACUAUAACCAUCCUAAGGUAGCGAAAUUCCUUGUCGGGUAAGUUCCGACCUGCACGAAUGGCGUAACGACUUCUCGACUGUCUCAACCAUAGGCCCGGUGAAAUUGCACUACGAGUAAAGAUGCUCGUUUCGCGCAGCAGGACGGAAAGACCCCGGGACCUUUACUAUAGCUUGAUAUUGGUGUUCGGUUCGGCUUGUGUAGGAUAGGUGGGAGACUUUGAAGCGGCAGCGCCAGCUGUUGUGGAGUCGUCGUUGAAAUACCACUCUGGUCGUGCUGGAUGUCUAACCUCGGUCCGUGAUCCGGAUCAGGGACAGUGUCUGGUGGGUAGUUUAACUGGGGCGGUUGCCUCCUAAAGAGUAACGGAGGCGCCCAAAGGUUCCCUCAGCCUGGUUGGCAAUCAGGUGUUGAGUGUAAGUGCACAAGGGAGCUUGACUGUGAGACUGACGGGUCGAGCAGGGACGAAAGUCGGGACUAGUGAUCCGGCGGUGGCUUGUGGAAGCGCCGUCGCUCAACGGAUAAAAGGUACCCCGGGGAUAACAGGCUGAUCUUCCCCAAGAGUCCAUAUCGACGGGAUGGUUUGGCACCUCGAUGUCGGCUCGUCGCAUCCUGGGGCUGGAGUCGGUCCCAAGGGUUGGGCUGUUCGCCCAUUAAAGCGGUACGCGAGCUGGGUUUAGAACGUCGUGAGACAGUUCGGUCCCUAUCCGCUGCGCGCGUAGGAAUAUUGAGAAGGGCUGUCCCUAGUACGAGAGGACCGGGACGGACGAACCUCUGGUGUGCCAGUUGUCCUGCCAAGGGCAUGGCUGGUUGGCUACGUUCGGAAAGGAUAACCGCUGAAAGCAUCUAAGCGGGAAGCCUGCUUCGAGAUGAGUAUUCCCACCCCCUUUGAGGGGUUAAGGCUCCCAGUAGACGACUGGGUUGAUAGGCCAGAUGUGGAAGCCCGGUAACGGGUGGAGCUGACUGGUACUAAUA